AGGUGUGGUCAGGCACUAGGGUUGGAGGUGUGGUCAGGUAUUAGGGAUGGAGGUGUGGUCAGGCACUAGGGAUGGAGGUGUGGUCAGGCACUAGGGUUGGAGGUGGAUGGGUUCAGGUCAGAGGAGAUGUAGUCAUUGUUUGUGUGUCUGUAAGUGAUUGUUUGUAUCUGGAGUAAAACUAUUUUUUAUUUUUUUAAGUUGGUCAGGUUAGUGAAUAAAAAGGCAGGAUGUGGACAAAUCUCUUAGGAAGCAACAGUGAUAUGGCCUUCAUCAAAUAUGCAGACGACAUGGCUCUCGUUGCUUGCCUGAAGGUCAAGUCCAUCUCCAGCUAUUCCCAGUUCAUUGACUGCCUCUUGACGCGGUUUGACAAUAGCUUCCUUGACCUUCAUGUCGCCAAGACUAAAAAACUGUACCUUGGUGGAAAGAACGCUGGGAAAUGGAAGCCCUUCUCUCGAGCCUGUCACCAUGGAAGGACGUGGAGCAAGUCACACACAUUAAAUACUUGGGGACAAUUUUCGACCACAAACUUAGCUUCCAGUAAAACACUGACCUCCUCUACAAAAAGUCAAGGCAGCUUAUUUCCCUACUUAAGAAACAAUUCAGUUUUAAUGCAAGCAAACACACUGAUCAUGGUGUACAAAUCCCCGAUCGAGUCUCAAUUACUACAUCCCCUUCUGGUAUGGGAACCUCUCAGUGAGAAACAGGAGUUAUCUGGCACAAGUUGUCCCAGAACAGCAAAACUGUCCGCAGCAAACGGCCACAACUCCAAGAACUGUACACACAAAGCAUCACAAACUGCAAGCAUCCUUCCAAAUGCUGCCGUCAGGUCGGAGACGACAGGUGGAACUCACAAAGAAGAACGGUCCCCCAAAAAAUGUAUCCCCUCUGCAGUGACAAUCCUUAUUAAGACUGAUGAACGGACAUGUAAAUAUUUCAUGUGUUUCAUUCUGACAUUUCAUUAUUUAAUGUGUUUUAUUCUGACAUUUCAUUCUGACAUUUCAAUAUUUAAUGUGUUUUAUUCUGACAUUUCAUUCUGACAUUUCAAUAUUUAAUGUGUUUCAUUCUGACAUUUCA
ensembl:lncRNA